UAUACGCCCUGUCUGCCUAAUGGCAGAGGCUACCUCUCAAAAGGAUGUGAGGAAUCUCAUCAUCAACCUCGGGCUAAUAUGGAGUACAGAUUAUCAUGUUUUAGUGUUGAGGACUCCUUCUCAACAAGGGCAGGGUGUAUAAAUUUUUUUCACAACAAUAUUCCAUCUGUUUGAUUUCACUCAAAUUACACCCACCAUAUUCAUUAGCUGCUUCCUUAAGAACCUGAAUUCUAUCACAACCAAUUCGAUCAUCAAUUGAAGACCUUCCUAUGCCUUUGCCUCAUGCCUCAAGCUUUAAGGUGGGAAGAGAACUAAAAGAUGUGGAUAAGCUUGAGAAAAAACAAAUUAGGAUCAAAUUGUUUGUAGAGAUGAAAUAAAUCAGAUCGUGAGGUUGAAGAAGGCCUCGACCUAGUGCAUUUUUGCCUUUUUGUUCUUUUUUUUUUUUUUUUUUUUUUGGUUUUUCUUCAAUUACUAAAGGGUUCUGCUAAUAAAGGAAAGAAAAUAAAAAAGUAUAACAGGUAACUCUUCUAAUAGGGUAAAUAAUUUGUGAGCAAAAUUAUUGAAACUGAAGGGAUGGAUAUGAGACAUGGGCAUAUUUGUGAUUUGGAUUUUUAGGCCCAUUACCCACAUAAAUCGGGUUGAAACGUCAGAUGCCCAACCCACUUAAGCAUGUUUUGUUUGGCCCUUAUAUAUCCAUUAUACCCUUUUUCUUCUUCACUCGACUUCACCCCGUGGUCACCAAUUGUCGAUUCGAAUGAGCCAUGAAAGUUGAAUCGAAUCCCAACAACAUUGAGCCUUCACAGCCUUUGAGAAACCUCUAGCCACUGUCAAACGAUCCGAAAACAUGAUUGCUGCAAUCUCAUAGCCACAGCAAUGAAGUCCUGAUCAUAACGAGGUCACCACCAUUGCUGACGUGAAAAUCCUCAUCCACCUUCGUUGAGAUGGAGAAAAUUGAGUAAUCUUGAAAAGCACCAGCCGAGAAUUGUUUACGAGUUAUAAGGUUGUGCUAGAUAAGUUGUUUGAACUCAAACAAUAUCAUUGAUUAUAACACUAGGUAUGUUGUUGUUUCUCCUUUUGCUCCAUCAAUAUAUAUGCCUAUACUUCCAUUUUUUAUGUAUAUAAAUAAAAAUAAAUCUACAGAUGAAAUGUGUGUUCAAAUUAUUGCUUUCCAUUGCAAAUUAAGUAUGAAUUUGAUGAAAUCUUUAUGACCAUAUUAUUCCAAACGUACGUAUAUGGCUUACUAAAAGAUUAAAUAUUUGUUUGUGCAAAACCUCCUUUGUAUCUCUCUCCAUUUGGUUGUGACAUAAGUCACCUUAGUAUACAGGUCUAUCUAUUUCUUCCCUUAGUAUCUGUAACACAACUAAUUCUAGCAGGUAGAAUCAUGAGUGAGAUAUUAGAUGAAGGAAUUGCAAAUCUUAAAUAUAUUCAUUCGUUGCUUCUGUAUCAUUUAUGGUUGAAAACAUUAUUUUCUAUGUUUCCUUAAUUUUGCCUUGAUUUAGUGAAUUGUUGCUUAAACA